GUCUAUGGCCAUACCACCCUGAACACGUCCCUCUCAUCUGAUCUAGGAAGCUAAGCGGGAUCAGGCCUGGUAAGCACUUGGAUGAGAAUAGAAGCGAUGAGGAGCCAGGGGAG
rnacentral:rRNA from 1 species